rnacentral:rRNA from 1 species
CAGGCUUAACACAUGCAAGUCGAGGGGCAGCAUUUCAGUUUGCUUGCAAACUGGAGAUGGCGACCGGCGCACGGGUGAGUAACACGUAUCCAACCUGCCGAUAACUCGGGGAUAGCCUUUCGAAAGAAAGAUUAAUACCCGAUGGCAUAAUUAGACCGCAUGGUCUUAUUAUUAAAGAAUUUCGGUUAUCGAUGGGGAUGCGUUCCAUUAGGCAGUUGGUGAGGUAACGGCUCACCAAACCUUCGAUGGAUAGGGGUUCUGAGAGGAAGGUCCCCCACAUUGGAACUGAGACACGGUCCAAACUCCUACGGGAGGCAGCAGUGAGGAAUAUUGGUCAAUGGGUGCAGGCCUGAACCAGCCAAGUAGCGUGAAGGAUGACUGCCCUAUGGGUUGUAAACUUCUUUUAUAUGGGAAUAAAGUUUUCCACGUGUGGAAUUUUGUAUGUACCAUAUGAAUAAGGAUCGGCUAACUCCGUGCCAGCAGCCGCGGUAAUACGGAGGAUCCGAGCGUUAUCCGGAUUUAUUGGGUUUAAAGGGAGCGUAGGUGGACAGUUAAGUCAGUUGUGAAAGUUUGCGGCUCAACCGUAAAAUUGCAGUUGAUACUGGCUGUCUUGAGUACAGUAGAGGUGGGCGGAAUUCGUGGUGUAGCGGUGAAAUGCUUAGAUAUCACGAAGAACUCCGAUUGCGAAGGCAGCUCACUGGACUGCAACUGACACUGAUGCUCGAAAGUGUGGGUAUCAAACAGGAUUAGAUACCCUGGUAGUCCACACAGUAAACGAUGAAUACUCGCUGUUUGCGAUAUACAGUAAGCGGCCAAGCGAAAGCAUUAAGUAUUCCACCUGGGGAGUACGCCGGCAACGGUGAAACUCAAAGGAAUUGACGGGGGCCCGCACAAGCGGAGGAACAUGUGGUUUAAUUCGAUGAUACGCGAGGAACCUUACCCGGGCUUAAAUUGCAUUUGAAUAUAUUGGAAACAGUAUAGCCGUAAGGCAAAUGUGAAGGUGCUGCAUGGUUGUCGUCAGCUCGUGCCGUGAGGUGUCGGCUUAAGUGCCAUAACGAGCGCAACCCUUAUCUUUAGUUACUAACAGGUCAUGCUGAGGACUCUAGAGAGACUGCCGUCGUAAGAUGUGAGGAAGGUGGGGAUGACGUCAAAUCAGCACGGCCCUUACGUCCGGGGCUACACACGUGUUACAAUGGGGGGUACAGAAGGCAGCUACCUGGUGACAGGAUGCUAAUCCCAAAAGCCUCUCUCAGUUCGGAUCGAAGUCUGCAACCCGACUUCGUGAAGCUGGAUUCGCUAGUAAUCGCGCAUCAGCCAUGGCGCGGUGAAUACGUUCCCGGGCCUUGUACACACCGCCCGUCAAGCCAUGAAAGCCGGGGGUACCUGAAGUACGUAACCGCAAGGAGCGUCCUAGGGUAAAACUGGUAAUUGGGG